GGAGAGGUGCCAGAGUGGCCGAUUGGAGCUUCCUGCUAAGAAGUUGACUGGGGAAACCUGGUCCGAGGGUUCGAAUCCCUCCUUCUCCG
rnacentral:tRNA from 1 species